GUGACUGCAGAUCAUCCAGCGAGUGGGAGGAGGAGGCUGCUAGACCCCAAGGCAAGUCUGGAUGGCAAAGCUUGAUCUCGACCAUCAGACAUGCUGCCAGCUGAGAGCACCGAGCAAGAGUCCAGAACCCACGGCAGGGGUCUCCAGUACAACUCAUCAUAGCGAAAUCUUGGAAGCAGCACGAAUGUCUACCAACAGCAUAAAGAAUAGGUAAUAUUACAACACAGCAGAGUACUAGCUGUCCUUAAGAAAGAUAGAUUUGAAUCAUUUUUAGGGAAACGGAUGCGUGUUGAGACUACCAUGUUAAGUGAAAUCAAUCCACAA
rnacentral:lncRNA from 1 species